GACGAACGCUGGCGGCGUGCUUAACACAUGCAAGUCGAACGGAAAGGCCUCUUUCGGGGGGUACUCGAGUGGCGAACGGGUGAGUAACACGUGAGUAACCUGCCCUUGACUUUGGGAUAACUUCAGGAAACUGGGGCUAAUACCGGAUAGGAGCUCCUGCUGCAUGGUGGGGGUUGGAAAGUUUCGGCGGUUGGGGAUGGACUCGCGGCUUAUCAGCUUGUUGGUGGGGUAGUGGCUUACCAAGGCUUUGACGGGUAGCCGGCCUGAGAGGGUGACCGGCCACAUUGGGACUGAGAUACGGCCCAGACUCCGACGGGAGGCAGCAGUGGGGAAUAUUGCACAAUGGGUGGAAGCCUGAUGCAGCAACGCCGUGUGCGGGAUGACGGCCUUCGGGUUGUAAACCGCUUUCGCUCAUGACGAAGCUUUGUGUGACGGUAGUGGGUAAAGAAGCACCGGCUAACUACGUG
rnacentral:rRNA from 1 species